UGACUGUACCCUAAGAAUAAGGUCCGGCUAACUUCGUGCCAGCAGCCGCGGUAAUACGAAGGGACCUAGCGUAGUUCGGAAUUACUGGGCGUAAAGCGCGCGUAGGCCGUUGAGUUAGUUAAUUGUGAAAUCCCAAAGCUUAACUUUGGAACUGCAAUUAAAACUGCUCGACUAGAGUUUGAUAGAGGAAAGCGGAAUACAUAGUGUAGAGGUGAAAUUCGUAGAUAUUAUGUAGAACACCAGUUGCGAAGGCGGCUUUCUGGAUCAACACUGACGCUGAGGCGCGAAAGUAUGGGUAGCAAAGAGGAUUAGAUACCCUCGUAGUCCAUACCAUAAACGAUGAUUGCUAGAUGUUGGAAAUUUAUUUUCAGUAUCGCAGCUAACGCAUUAAGCAAUCCGCCUGGGGAGUACGACCGCAAGGUUAAAACUCAAAUGAAUUGACGGGGACCCGCACAAGCGGUGGAGCAGGUGGUUUAAUUCGAAGAUACGCGCGGAACCUUACCAACCCUUGACAUGUCUGUCGCGAGUUUAGGAAACUAGACUUUUCGGUUCGGCCGGACAGAACACAGGUGCUGCAUGGCUGUCGUCAGC
rnacentral:rRNA from 1 species